rnacentral:rRNA from 1 species
UACGUAGGGGGCUAGCGUUGUCCGGAAUCAUUGGGCGUAAAGCGCGUGUAGGCGGUUCGGUAAGUCCGCUGUGAAAGUCGGGGGCUCAACCCUCGAAAGCCGGUGGAUACUGUGGGGCUAGAGUCCGGAAGAGGCGAGUGGAAUUCCUGGUGUAGCGGUGAAAUGCGCAGAUAUCGGGAAGAACACCCGUGGCGAAGGCGGCUCUCUGGGACGGUACUGACGCUGAGACGCGAAAGCGUGGGGAGCGAACAGG